AUGACUAUCUGUUGGUUAUCCAGCGGCCACGUGGACACCGAUGUCCUUGUCCGCCUCGCCAACAGGCACGCACUCCUGGCCUGCAACAUCGCGCCUUUGCUGAGGAGCCUCUGUGUCUCAGGCAGGCCUUACAUCCCUGAGAAAGAACUCAUCACGGAGAUCAUCAGGAAGCUUCCUCUGCUGGAGCGCUUCGUGCUGUGGAGCGGCGAUUUCCAGGAAGAGCUGCUUCUCGCCCUCCUCGACCACUGCCCACGCCUCCAGAUGCUCGAUGUCAGGCGUUGUUGGCCCAUGUUUUGUGUCUCGAAAGCGCCCAUUAGCAUGAGGAUACAGAGCUGCACCAUCAAAGACAUCCGGCUGCCGGGGAAUAGUCCAUUGCCCCCAGAGACGGACCUUGACUUGCUCAUGUAG
rnacentral:rRNA from 1 species